GAUUAAGAACGUAGCGAAAUGCGAUAAGUAGUGUGAAUUGCAGAAUUCAGUGAAUCAUCGAAUCUUUGAACGCACAUUGCGCCCCUUGGUAUUCCAUGGGGCAUGCCUGUUCGAGCGUCAUUUGUACCUUCAAGCUCUGCUUGGUGUUGGGUGUUUGUCUCGCCUCUGCGCGUAGACUCGCCUCAAAACAAUUGGCAGCCGGCGUAUUGAUUUCGGAGCGCAGUACAUCUCGCGCCUUGCACUCAUAACGACGACGUCCAAAAGUACAUUUUUACACUCUUGACCUCGGAUCAGGUAGGGAUACCCGCUGAACUUAAGCAUAUCAAUAAGCGGAGGA
rnacentral:misc_RNA from 1 species